AUGGAGGCGAUGGCGUCAGAGUCGAGGCCUUGCUGGGUGUAUAGCAUCAGCAGCUUGAUAGCGCACGUGCCCCACAGGGGGUUACACAGAGCAUCCCCCCCCCUCCCCGCGGGCUUUGGCCUAAGUAACCCCGCUUUCCGACCUCAUUUUGUAGCACCCGACAGGACUUUCGGGUUGGAGGCCGGGGCGCCGCUGCACUCAAGCACCGGGGCCGCCGAGGCAGGUGCAUGGGACGCGUCCCCGCGGGGGAAGGAAGCAGCGGCCAAAGAAGAGGCGCUGGCGCCGCGCAGGGAUGCUCACCGGGAUGCUCACCGGGAUGCGCACCGGGAUGCGCACCGGGAUGCCGAUGGGACCGCGACGCAAGAGGAGGAGGAUGCAGCACUGCGGGGGGGAGCAGGGGUCGGGGAGGCCCCCCGGGGGGCGCAGAAGCCCCCGGCCGCUGCGGGGGGACAGCGGGCGGAGGGAAGGGCCAGCCCUCGGGGCCCAGCACCUGCGGCCGGAGCAGCAGAGGAUCCCAGGCCGGCUACAGUGGAGCUAGGCCCCGGGGGAGAAGGGGCUGCCGGAGCCCCCCGCGGAGGUGCGGGGGGAGGGGAGGCUCCCCAAGAGCCGGCCUUGCGGCCCCCGGAGCUGCAGACGCAGGAGGGGGAGGCUGAGGCCGGGCUUGCAGCGCGGGAGCCCCGGGGGGCUGGGACCGCGGGCGCGGAGGAACCGGGGGCGGCGGGGCGCGCGGGGGCUGGGCGGCCAGCGGCUCCGGGGGCGAGCGGGGGACCGGCCAGCGGCACCUCCGCCCCGCAAGGCGCCCCCAGGGCAGCUGCCCGCCCGGGCCCCGACCUCCCGGGAGCGCGCGGGCUUGACGGGGAGGAGCAGGGGUCCGGGGAGGAAGCGAGGCCUGGGGAAGAGGCGCCAGGCUCCCCGAGGGACACGGAGCGGGACGCCGAGGGCCGAGCCCCCGCGGGGCCCCCGGGAGGCGGCGCGGGGAGGGGGGGGCCGGCGGCCGCGAGCGCAGGGGCGCCUGCAGGGGCGCGGCCGCGGGACGGAGGGGAGACGCCCAGCGAAGCGGGGGGCGCGCGGCGCGGGGGCAGAGCGGAGCUGCUUCCCGGGGAGCCCGAGGCCGACCCGGGGCAGGACCCCGACCCGGAGCGCGCGGCGGUGCCGGGAGCUCGGGCGGGAGCGGGACAGGCCCCGGGGCCCGAAGGAGCGGGGCUCAGCGCGGGGGCCCCACAGGGCGUCUCGGCGGGGGGCCCUACGGCGGCGGGGGGCAGGCUGAGCGGAGGCGCUCUGUCCGGGGCCCCGGGCCAGGACGCGGGCCGCGCUGCGGCCACCGUGCUGGGCGCGGGGGGCCCGGAGCGCGGCGGGAGCCCCCGGGGAGGACUCCAGGCCGGAGGGCGGGCGGCAGGCCUGGCGGCACCCGAGACGCAGGCGGUGGCGGAUUUGAAGCCAGCGGAGGGGCAGGCAGGGGCCAAGGAGGGCGCCUCCCCGCCGGGCGCGGCUGGCACGGACACCUGGCACGGAGGGGAGCAGCGGCCCGGGCGGCGGGCGGAGGGCGCGGGGGAGGGGGCGGAGGGGCCCGGCGGGGAGCGGGGGGCGGAGGAGGGCGCAGCGCCCUUGGGGAGGAGGAGGGGGCGGGGGAGGAGGGCGCAGCGCCCCUUGGGGAGGAGGAGAGGGCGGGGGAGGAGGGCGCAGCGCCCCUUGGGGAGGAGGAGGGGGCGAGGGAGGAGAGCGCAGGGGCGGAGGGCACGGGGCCCGGCGGGGAGGAGGGGGCGGGGGCGCGGGCGGGGAGCGCCGGGCACCGCGGGGAGGAGGGGGCAGGGGUGA
rnacentral:lncRNA from 1 species